rnacentral:rRNA from 1 species
ACGAACGCUGGCGGCGUGCCUAAUACAUGCAAGUAGAACGCACAGUUUAUACCGUAGCUUGCUACACCAUAAACUGUGAGUUGCGAACGGGUGAGUAACGCGUAGGUAACCUGCCUGGUAGCGGGGGAUAACUAUUGGAAACGAUAGCUAAUACCGCAUAAUAUUGAUUAUUGCAUGAUAAUUGAUUGAAAGAUGCUAUUGCAUCACUACCAGAUGGACCUGCGUUGUAUUAGCUAGUAGGUGAGGUAACGGCUCACCUAGGCGACGAUACAUAGCCGACCUGAGAGGGUGAUCGGCCACACUGGGACUGAGACACGGCCCAGACUCCUACGGGAGGCAGCAGUAGGGAAUCGUCGGCAAUGGACGAAAGUCUGACCGAGCAACGCCGCGUGAGUGAAGAAGGUUUUCGGAUCGUAAAGCUCUGUUGUAAGAGAAGAACGGGUGUGAGAGUGGAAAGUUCACACUGUGACGGUAUCUUACCAGAAAGGGACGGCUAACUACGUG